GUGAAUCAUCGAAUUUUUGAACGCAAAUUGCACUCUUCUCGGAUAGUAUGAGUGUUUGUGGGUCAGCAUAUAAAAAAUCGCCAUAGUUGCUGUUUCGUGAUGGCGUUCGGUGGAAAUUGGGUAAUCUUAAAUUCUUUUGAUUUAAGCGACUUAAAAUUUUCUUUUGGUUCCAUUAACGUUUUUAUGAUUUAUUUCUUUACACGUUUAAGGUAUUGAUUUUUUCUAGACGUGACAAUAAUAUCGGAUAGCGA
rnacentral:misc_RNA from 1 species